UACAGAGGGUGCAAGCGUUGUCCGGAAUCAUUGGGCGUAAAGCGCGUGUAGGCGGCUCGGUAAGUCUGCUGUGAAAGUCCAGGGCUCAACCCUGGGAUGCCGGUGGAUACUGUCGAGCUCGAGUCCGGAAGAGGCGAGUGGAAUUCCUGGUGUAGCGGUGAAAUGCGCAGAUAUCAGGAGGAACACCAAUGGCGAAGGCAGCUCGCUGGGACGUGACUGACGCUGAGACGCGAAAGCGUGGGGAGCAAACAGG
rnacentral:rRNA from 1 species